UGGGGAAUUUUGGACAAUGGGCGCAAGCCUGAUCCAGCCAUGCCGCGUGCGGGAAGAAGGCCUUCGGGUUGUAAACCGCUUUUGUCAGGGAAGAAACGCUCUGGGCUAAUACCCUGGGGUAAUGACGGUACCUGAAGAAUAAGCACCGGCUAACUACGUGCCAGCAGCCGCGGUAAUACGUAGGGUGCAAGCGUUAAUCGGAAUUACUGGGCGUAAAGCGUGCGCAGGCGGCUAUGCAAGACAGAUGUGAAAUCCCCGGGCUCAACCUGGGAACUGCAUUUGUGACUGCAUAGCUGGAGUGCGGCAGAGGGGGAUGGAAUUCCGCGUGUAGCAGUGAAAUGCGUAGAUAUGCGGAGGAACACCGAUGGCGAAGGCAAUCCCCUGGGCCUGCACUGACGCUCAUGCACGAAAGCGUGGGAGCAAACAGGAUUAGAUACCCAAGUAGUCCCUGAGCGGGCUGGCAAGGCGCAU
rnacentral:rRNA from 1 species